UGAAAAAGACUGCAAACAAAGCGCCAACACAGUCCAUAACUAAGCAUAAACCACGUGAACACAAACGCAUAAGCCCGCAUAAACCACGUCUACAUCCAAGUUGCUACAACAAGUGAAAAACGCAGUGCACUCAAGCUGCAACUUAAAGUACAACUUCACAAUCCAAAGCCGGCAUAAACGGCAAUACAAUAAAAUGCAGCUAGCUACAACAGAAAAUUAAAGUACAGCUUCACAAAUCAAUCCAAAGCACAAGGAAAGCCGCAACACCGUCACAAGCAGCAAAAAGUGCAUCAAUCUAACCGCCAGUUGCGAAACGCACGCGGCAAAAUUCAAAACCGUUACGAAUCGCAAAGCCAAGAACCAAAAGUCCUGCACACACAUUGAUACUUCAAUUAAAACUUCAACCAAAAUACAACAGAGAUCAAAGAGAAAAUUCAUAAUACAGAAAUAGAAUAGAAAUGAAGAGAAAAUGAUGAGAGAACCUGAAGAAAAAUGCAGAAUUUUGGUAACCUCCAAUUGAUAACCGAACCGGAAACUGCUACGAAAACUGAGCUCCUCCAAUACACCACUUCAAUCACAUAAGAAUUCCUAACCAAUUGUCAAAAUAAUAGAGCCAACCAACUCUUUCAAGAAACCCUCAACAAACUUCAACCCAUAAUAACAAUCUCUCUAAUCUCAUAUAACUGAAACCACCAACUCACCAACCGAAAUUCAACCUGUAACAGAAUUAUGGGAGUUGAAAUCACCUCUAACCAACCUAACAGUUAUGACCAACUCUCAACAGAACCACUAACCGAAUAACCGAAUCCUUCAAUCCUAACCACCCUAACUGUUUUCACACAACUAACUUCCAACCUCUCAACAAACCGCCUCCAACUGAAUAAACCAAACUCCAACCUCCCCUAACAGAAUUGAGAACCAUCCUCAACCAAUUUCGAACCAACAGGAAGAGAAUUCCGCAACUGACUGUAAGGGGUUCCAUCAACCAAUAAAUGCUGAACCGAAUCACUCUCCACAUUUUUUUCUUCACCUCAUUUCAACAACUCCAUCUUCAAAAACCGCCUUUCACCACCCUCCUCAAGGAGGAACUUUCCCUCAACCCUGCAACUUCACAAUUGAUUCUCCAUCUUCAAACCACUCCUCAUCAAACAUCUUCAGCCGACCCUCUUCUUCAACCUCAACCCUGAGACCCUCCAUUCGAUCCGUAAAAUAGAACGUCAACCAACUCCAAAAUUCCUUUAACUGCUCCCUUCUCUCCAAACCUGUAAGAAAAAAAGGAGAGAAAUGAACUCAAACCCUCUUCAUCACCCUAAACCAACCUCUGCUAACCAAGAGCAAUUUCACAAAGAAACUAAAAAUCAGAAAAAACAGAACGCAAACACAAACAGAAGAAGAAGAAACAUCACCAGGAGAUCUUAACAGAAUAAAAAAAAAGAGAAGAUUGAGAAGAAGUGAAGAAGAACAAAAGAGAAGGAAUCAAAGAUGUCACCUGGAAUCUUCAACAAACCCGGUAGGUUCUUCGUCCCUCAUCUGUUUCUAUUAUGUGCGCGAAAACUUCGAUUACGAGUGUUGUAUUCAUGUUGACUCCGAUCCGGUGAGGAGAUUGAGCGUUGGAGACGAAUUCGCGGCGGCUCCCGUCAUUCGAUUGUAAAUCGCGUUCGAGACGAACACAGCAGCAACUCGCGUGGCCAAUCUGUUGUGCCAGGACAUGGUCGAAAUCCAUGUGAGACCCUAAACGAACAUCCUUGGAGGCUUUUCCGCGUGUUGAGAUCUUUUUUAUCCAAGAUGGAAUCUGGAUCAUGCGUUUGGAGCGGUCGAAUUCUUACACCGCGUUUGAACAUCGCCGAGUGGGAUUUGGGAGCGCUUCACAUAGAAGAGUGUGGAAUCGGAACUCUUGCAUCACGAGAGUACUUUCUCUGUUUCGACCAUAGAUUUCGGAUGGGGAGGAAGAGAUUUUUGGACCAUAGCUCCGAUCCAUAGUUGCAUCGAUCAUGUUUUCGUCUCUAUUUCCUUGGCUCUGGUACAGUGCAGGAUCUAGGGCGUGCAUUUGGAAAGGCCCAAGCAUUUUCUGCUCUUCAUUCACACCCUUGAAUCCAACGUACUCACCCAUGGCCAUAAUCUCCCUAAUCACCCCAUUAACUAGUGGUUUAAUUUUUAGUUAAUUUGUUUCUAAUGCCAGUUUUUUUUUUUUGUUAAUGUUGGUGCUAAUUGUUGAUCUUGCAGAAUUAGCAUGAUCCCCUUUUUAGAAAUAUUAGGAUUUAGCACAAUUUUAAUGAUGAUUAGCUUAAGUCUUAAUUAGAUUUGAUUAGGUAAUUAGGUUUAGUCAAUUCUCUUGAUUAGAAUUAGUUCUUAAUUUUUUAGAAAUAAUUCAUGAUUGAUUAUCAUGUCAUGAUUAGAUUUUAGUCAUUUGAUUUUGGUUAGUUCUUUUUGUGGAUUUUUGUUGAGAUUAAUAUGUUAGAUAUCGCUUUCACCUUGACUAAACCUUAGAUUAAUUUCUCAUUCGAUUUGACCUUUUGUAUGAUGAUUUGUAUAAUCAUGUAGACUAGCAUUCUAUUCUUAAUUUAGAUUGUGAAUUUUACAUUAGAUUGAUUAGUGAUUCCUAACUCGUGUUUAGGUAGAUUUAGACUUUUAGAAUUAAUAGUCAUUUUAAUUGUCCACUUAAUCGUUUCAUUGGUUUGUGAUCAUAUUGUAAAUUGAAAAUUCCAUUUCAAUUUAGGUGAUGAAUAUUUUGUAUGUCUAAUUUCAUUUGCCAUGAUCAUAGGAUAGAUCUUUGAUUGCUUUCCAUUGAUUAAUUCAUUACCCUUUGAAUCGAUUCUAACCAUUGUAUAUACUUACAUAUUGUCGCAUCAUUCUCAUUUCAUUCGACUUAAUCUCAUGCUAACUCGUUUGUUGUUUCGUUUCAAGCUCACUCUUAGCUAACCAUGCUCCUAACCACAUUUCCGUUCAAUAACUUUGUAUUGUUUGGAGUACCAUGUCACUUGUAUGCCUUAGGCAUGGUACACCGUUUAAUAGUUUAUAACUUGUAUCUUCCUUUCACUCCUUUCCCAUUGUAUUGUAUGGAUUCAUCCCCCCAUUGUGGGUUACAUGUCCCCCCUCCCUUAACCAUGCAAUAGCUUAGAUUUAUUGCUUUCUAGUUAGUAUAAUGUGCAUGUUAAUAAUCAAAGAUAAAACACAAAACGAUAAACAAAGCAUUUCAAAAGAAACAAAAGAUACUUGAUUCAACGUCAAAUUAUUUUUCGAAUAAAACUCACACCAUUGCAACGUGAAUACUUGAUCCAAUAUCAAGCAUCCUCCAUCCACUCUAAGAUUCAUUCAUUAUAUCAUCCCUUCUCCAUUCUCUUCUCAAUUGUAUUCUAUCUCUCACCUCCAUUCUUCACUCACUAUUUUCAUAAUAAAUUCAAACACUUGAUUCAACGUUAAGUUUCUUUUUUAAAAACCCUUUCAUAACAAAUUGGAAUGCAAAUGGGGUGUACGUGUUUGUACACAACAUUCAAGUAAUUGGAUUGUCGGCCGUACCUAGCCUGAGGACCCGACACUUGACUUUCCCCCUUAAUCAUAUAAUGAUUCAAACAAGUUAGAUCUAUGUGCUAUGAGGAUGAAAAAGAAUAGUUAGGACUUCAUUGUUCUCUCGAUUCCCAAGCACUUUAAUCGCUCACUGUACUUAGUCAAGGGUUAGAUACUUGUCUCCCUCUAAGUUCCAACGAUUAAACUUGCCAAACUUCUUUCACAAUUCAAAUCUCUUUUUUGGAUGAAAAAUAGUGGUUAGGACAACAUUGCCCUCUCAACUCCCAAGUUAUUGGAUCGUUGACUGUAUCUAGCCAAGGGUUUAGUGCUUGUCUCCAUGCAUAAAAUCAACCCUAACAAAUCAAAUCUUCUUUUGCCUUAGUGCACUCUUCAAAACCUUUCAAUAAGGAUAUGUUACUUCCCUUCUACCGUGAACAAAGCUUAAGCCUCCAUGUGUGAGCAAGUAAUGUUUAACUGUUAGAGUGCGAACCAAGCGUAUCCACUUUGCCGCAAACAAGCAAAUACUUUCCGCUCCCAUGACAGAGUAUACAAGCAAGUGAACAGUAGCGCGUGAAUAUCAAUACUAUUAAGUAAAAACAACCAAACAAAUACGCCAUUUUUUAGCCGAACUACGAAGCUCUGACUUCCCUAUUGCACGUAUGGGGAUACGUAGGCACAAGGGCCCAAAUCCUUGGCGAGCACACUAAAUUAAAACUUAUUUUCUCUGCCACCUAAAUCUCUCAUCUCAUUCCCAAUAGCAAGCAACUUACAGAUAAAUAAACAUCCAUACGUAUUUGAUACGAGCAAGUGGUUCCCAUGGAAUACCAUGGAUGUGAGGGGUGCUAAUACCUUCCCCUUGCAUAACCGACUUCUGAGUCCGCUCUUGGUUGCGAGACCGUUUCUCUCAUUUGGGGUUUUAUCGCUAUUUUCCCUUCCCUUUGGAAUAAAUAAAAUCUGGUGGCAACUCUGUAUUUUUCGCGGCGCCUCACCAUUCAGGUAGAAGUUCCCAGCUAAUCUUCUCAAAGUCUUCUUAUCUUUCAAUGAUGCCCCAGGCGGGUAACUCUGACUUUGGAGGAAACACUUGAUAUCAAAAUACCAUGGCUUUUCAUGUUUGACCUCUUCAACAGCAAAUACAUGAGCUGGCUAUCAAGACGCAUCACAGUUAAAUUGGGAACUUUAUUCCAGAAUUUCACCACAAUCAUUGAAGUCAACGUUGCAAGAGCGUCUGUCAUCCGGUUUUCAUCUCGAGGGAUAUGAUGAAACUCAACCUUUGUAAAGAAAGUUAAUAUCCUUCUUGUGUAAUCUCUAUAUGGUAUCAAACUAGGUUGACUUGUCUCCCAUUCACCUUUGAUUUGAUUCACAAUCAAAGCCGAAUCUCCAUAGGUGUCAAGAUACUUGAUUCUGAGAUCAAUGGCCUCUUCAAUCCCCAUAAUGAAAGCUUCAUACUCAUCCAUAUU
rnacentral:lncRNA from 1 species